rnacentral:rRNA from 1 species
UACGUAGGGGGCAAGCGUUGUCCGGAUUUAUUGGGCGUAAAGAGCGUGUAGGCGGCCAGGUAGGUCCGUUGUGAAAACUCGAGGCUCAACCUCGAGACGCCGAUGGAAACCAUCUGGCUAGAGUCCGGAAGAGGAGAGUGGAAUUCCCGGUGUAGCGGUGAAAUGCGUAGAUAUUGGGAGGAACACCAGUGGCGAAGGCGGCUCACUGGACCGGAACUGACGCUGAGGCGCGAAAGCGUGGGGAGCAAACGGG